GCCUCAGUUGCUGCUCUGAGGCUGCCUGGUGCCCCCAGGGGGCCUGAGAACGACCCUUCUCCCUGCGCCUGGAGUUCCAGGUGGACCCCACGUCGUGCAUCAUUCAAAUCGAGAAGGCGCUAGCAGGAGGCCGAGCCCCUCCAGACACGACGCGUCUGACACUGCUUUGAGGACUGGUUCCCCGGGCCCUACCUGGCAGUCUCCAAUCACUCCCGGAUGCCGGGCGUGAGCGGUGUCUUCUGGAGAACAUCAGAUGGCCGGAGGUAGAAAAGUCAAGUAAAGAGAGCCUAACCCUGGCUGCGGAGCAGGUACAAGGAAGAUCCCUGCAUGAACUGAUAUUUGAAACGAGUCUUGAAACAUGAGGAGGAGUUUGCCCUCCAUGGACAAGAUGAGGGAAAGGCAGGUCUGGCGGAGGGCACGGCAUGACGAAUGCACGGAGGCAUGACGAGAGGAUGAGGUGCGUUUGGGGCGCAGAAGGGGUUUGGCGUGGCAGCAGCAGAGAGUGCAGAUGACCAAGGGCCGGGGAGGAAGAUGUAGAAAUCAGCUGGAGAUAGACCGUGGAAGACCUUGGGGGCCACUGUGGUCAAAAUGCGAAUGGGAACACAGAGGAGACAGAAGGCUGAAAUCCGAAAGGCGGGAAUUCAAAACAAAUAAAGAGGGAAUCUUACAAAGUCACACUUCCAGAACUAAAUGCGGACACAUUCGUUUGGCUUUACCCGCCUCCGCCUUUCCUUGGCCAUCCAGCCCCAAGAGCUGCACUACUCUGGUGCCUGUCUCAGAUUUAUUAUCAGUUUCCAGGGACUGGGAGGACAGCCUCACCACCCGCCUCUUCAUAAAUCAGGCGCUGAAAGUGGUUCAGACGACACGCUGACAGAAGACGCCUGGACCCCGGAGGGAUGGAGCUCUCGAGCCCCUGAGGCUGGCCAUUGGCCCUUCUGCAUAAUCCCAAAGAGAGAGAGGAUAGGAGAGGGGACAGGACCACUGCCUUCUGCAGCAUCCUCACGCCUUACCCGCCGCCCGCCUGCCAUGCCCCAGGCUCUGGGAUCCCAGGCUGAAUCCAAAGGAGUAGCCGCCUAAUGGUGCCAGGCUGUCGGAUGGGCAGGAACUGACAGCUUCAGGAGGGGGACGCCCUGCUUCGAAGUAGCCACGGUGCACUCUGUAUGUGGGCCAUGUGUGGUUUGAUGCGUUAGAAGUUUCAUCAAACCUCUGGGCAUAUUUAUACAAUUAGAGCGGCAAGCGAAAGAAAACAGCACGGUGACAAAUUGGGCUCGUGCACUCUGAUUAACUUGUUAAGCUAAAUAAAUUGCAUAGGAAACGUGCCCUGUUUGAAUUUAUGAAAUUGCUUCUCAUCAAGAUAGAUGGCCGCUGGACCAGUCCGGGGCAGGCAGCUGGUAUACGGUCUGGCUAGAACUCGUUGUGAGUACAGAAGGAGAGAGGACACCAUCCCCCCCACUGGAAACAAAACGACACAUCCCAUCUACAGGGGCCAAGCAGGGCCGCUGCUUUGUCCAGACCUUCGAGCAGUGACUUGCUCUAGCACUGUCCACUCCCGUUGACCCGGAACCCAGACAGCGAGCUGACUCCCGUCACCCAGUGCUCUCCGGGUGCUUGGUUUUUAUGAGCAAGAUGACUGGCACAAAAGCAAGAGGGCAUGGGGUUUGGGUUGAAAAACCCUGUAAAUCAGCCUACAUCUUCUAUGCUUUUAGCCACCGCAGGUAGAUGCCUCGCAGCGCUGAACUGUGUCCCAUCCCAACACACAGAAACGAACAUUUAUCAGGGACUUACUCUGUGUUGGGACAUAGGCUCCAUGCUUUAGUCAAUGAUCACAACGGCCCGCUGACAAACAUGCUAGUAUUAUUCCCAUUUUCCAAAUGCGCACAGAGCAAAGGUCCAUGGGAGAGUGCAGGGAAGCUAUAGUAAAUGGCAGCAUCGGGACUUGAACCCGGGUGAGGUUGGUCCCAGAGCCUGCAGUGUUCAUUGCCCUCCCC